GUGCCAGCAGCCGCGGUAAUACGUAGGGGGCUAGCGUUGUCCGGAAUCAUUGGGCGUAAAGCGCGUGUAGGCGGCUUGCCAAGUCCGAUGUGAAAGCUCGGGGCUUAACCCCGAGUCUGCAUUGGAAACUGGCUUGCUUGAGUCCGGAAGAGGAGACUGGAAUUCCUGGUGUAGCGGUGAAAUGCGCAGAUAUCAGGAAGAACACCGGUGGCGAAGGCGGGUCUCUGGGACGGUACUGACGCUGAGACGCGAAAGCGUGGGGAGCAAACAGGAUUAGAAACCCCGGUAGUCC
rnacentral:rRNA from 1 species